AAGUACCGUGAGGGAAAGUUGCAAAGAACUUUGAAGAGAGAGUUCAAGAGGGCGUGAAACCGCUUAGAAGUAAACGGGUAGAGCUGACGAGAAGUCGGCGGGAUUCAGCUGGCUAGUGUGCGUAUCCGCGUUGUCUGAUCGAUUCGACGGACUGGCGUUAGGAAAUUCAUGCUGGCUGGUGCAUUUCCCGUCGAUGUGCAUCAAGGUCAGUGGUGGCGCUGGAAGUACGGGCUCGAUUGCCGGCUGACACCUCGGUGUCAGUGUCCCAUCGAGUCCCGAAACCGAGUCGCUGCUACUGAGCUCUUGGGAGCCCGCCAAUGGAGCGGUAGCGGCGUUGCUUCGGCGCAUGAAAUUCUGUUGUCUGCUUGCAGACCUCAGUAACUCUUGCCGUUGUUUUCGCCGUGAUCCGCGCCAGGCGCCCAUCCUUGAUGUCUGUGUCGGCCACCUACCUGACCCGUCUUGAAACACGGACCAAGGAGUCUAACAUGUGCGCGAGUUUUUGGGUUGCAAAACCUAGAAGCGUAACGAAAGUAGAUCGACCGCCCUAGUCGUGGUUACAUGCGACCCUGAUUCUUCGGAGUUGGGUGCAGCAUGGUCCUGCCUUAUCUGCAUCGUCAGUUUGGCAGAGACAGAGCGUACACGUUGGGACCCGAAAGAUGGUGAACUAUGCCUGAGCAGGACGAAGCCAGAGGAAACUCUGGUGGAGGUCCUUAGCGGUUCUGACGUGCAAAUCGAUCGUCAGACUUGGGUAUAGGGGCGAAAGACUAAUCGAACCAUCUAGUAGCUGGU
rnacentral:rRNA from 1 species